rnacentral:tRNA from 7 species
ACUUGUCUAGAUUAGUUGGUAGAGUGCAAGGAAUUUAAACCUUGAGGUCUUGGGUUCAAGCUCCAUUGUGGGUG